GAUGAACGCUGGCGGCGUGCCUAAUACAUGCAAGUCGAGCGAACAGACGAGGAGCUUGCUCCUCUGACGUUAGCGGCGGACGGGUGAGUAACACGUGGAUAACCUACCUAUAAGACUGGGAUAACUUCGGGAAACCGGAGCUAAUACCGGAUAAUAUAUUGAACCGCAUGGUUCAAUAGUGAAAGACGGUUUUGCUGUCACUUAUAGAUGGAUCCGCGCCGCAUUAGCUAGUUGGUAAGGUAACGGCUUACCAAGGCAACGAUGCGUAGCCGACCUGAGAGGGUGAUCGCCCACACUGGAACUGAGACACGGUCCAGACUCCUACGCGAGGCAGCAGUAGGGAAUCUUCCGCAAUGGGCGAAAGCCUGACGGAGCACCGCCGCGUGAGUGAUGAAGGUCUUCGGAUCGUAAAACUCUGUUAUUAGGGAAGAACAAAUGUGUAAGUAACUAUGCACGUCUUGACGGUACCUAAUCAGAAAGCCACGGCUAACUACGUG
rnacentral:rRNA from 1 species